rnacentral:rRNA from 1 species
GACGAACGCUGGCGGCGUGCCUAAUACAUGCAAGUCGAGCGAAGUUUUUCUGGUGCUUGCACUAGAAAAACUUAGCGGCGAACGGGUGAGUAACACGUAAAGAACCUGCCUCAUAGACUGGGACCACUAUUGGAAACGAUAGCUAAUACCGGAUAACAGUAUUUCUCGCAUGAGAGAUAUUUAAAAGUUGGUUAUGCUAACACUAUGAGAUUGCUUUGCGGUGCAUUAGCUAGUUGGUGGGGUAAAGGCUCACCAAGACGACGAUGAAUAGCCGACCUGAGAGGCAGAGCGGGCAAGAGGAGACUGAGACACGGGCCAGACUGCUACGGGAGGAAGCAGUGGGGAAUCUUCCGAGAAGGGCGAAAGCUUGACGGAGCAACGCCGCGUGAGGGAUGAAAGUUUUCGGAUCUUAAAACUCUGUAGUUAGGGAAAAACAAAUAUGUAGGUAACUAAGAAGGGCGGGACGGUACCUAAUCAGAAAGCCACGGCUAACUACGUG